GAUGAACGCUGGCGGCGUGCCUAAUACAUGCAAGUCGAGCGAACAGAUAAGGAGCUUGCUCCUUUGACGUUAGCGGCGGACGGGUGAGUAACACGUGGGUAACCUACCUAUAAGACUGGGAUAACUUCGGGAAACCGGAGCUAAUACCGGAUAAUAUUUCGAACCGCAUGGUUCGAUAGUGAAAGAUGGUUUUGCUAUCACUUAUAGAUGGACCCGCGCCGUAUUAGCUAGUUGGUAAGGUAACGGCUUACCAAGGCGACGAUACGUAGCCGACCUGAGAGGGUGAUGGGCAAAACUGGAACUGGGACACGGUCCAGAAUCCUAAGGGAGGCAGCAGUAGGGAAUCUUUCGCAAUGGGCGAAAGCCUGACGGAGCAACGCCGGGUGAGUGAUGAAGGUCUUCGGAUCGUAAAACUCUGUUAUUAGGGAAGAACAUAAGUGUAAGUAACUGUGCACGUCUUGACGGUACCUAAUCAGAAAGCCACGGCUAACUACGUG
rnacentral:rRNA from 1 species